GACGAACUGUCCUAACGUUGUUCGGAAUCACUGGGCGUAAAGCGCACGUAGGCGGAUUGUUAAGUCAGGGGUGAAAUCCUGGAGCUCAACUCCAGAACUGCCUUUGAUACUGGCGAUCUCGAGUCCGGGAGAGGUGAGUGGAACUGCGAGUGUAGAGGUGAAAUUCGUAGAUAUUCGCAAGAACACCGGUGGCGAAGGCGGUCUGCUGGGCAGUUGCUGACACUGAGGCGCGACAGCGUGGGGAGCAAACAGG
rnacentral:rRNA from 1 species